UUAAAUUGAAGAGUUUGAUCAUGGCUCAGAUUGAACGCUGGCGGCAGGCCUAACACAUGCAAGUCGAACGGUAACAGGAAGCAGCUUGCUGCUUUGCUGACGAGUGGCGGACGGGUGAGUAAUGUCUGGGAAACUGCCUGAUGGAGGGGGAUAACUACUGGAAACGGUAGCUAAUACCGCAUAACGUCGCAAGACCAAAGAGGGGGACCUUCGGGCCUCUUGCCAUCGGAUGUGCCCAGAUGGGAUUAGCUAGUAGGGUGGGGUAACGGCUCACCUAGGCGACCGAUCCCUAGCUGGUCUGAGAGGAUGACCAGCCACACUGGAACUGAGACACGGUCCAGACUCCUACGGGAGGCAGCAGUGGGGAAUAUUGCACAAUGGGC
rnacentral:rRNA from 1 species